GUGUUCUCUCUAGGCUCCGGCAUGACGGGUGACUUCUUCCGAGUCUGGCUUCUGCAGCACACAGGGCUUCGCCAGCACCCAGCUCCUGCAGCAUGGGCAGCUCCUGUGACAGCAGGCGCCCGCAGCCUGCAAAGCGUCUCCAGUGCCGCCGCCUCAGUGAACCUCAACCAGCGGCACCUAGCAGCUUUCUCUGCCACCCUCUUCAGGCAGGAAGCCCGCCUGACCCCAUGUCUCAGGCUGCCAGAGGAGCGUGCGAUGAGGAAGGCUGGACUGUCUUCACAGGACACCAGGGAGAAGCCUCAAGCCACUGCCCCCUGACAAGUCGCAGCUCUCCAGCCUGUCUCCUCACUCCCCUCCCCUCCACAUGGGGGGGUUGGGGUGGGGGCGGGGAAGGUUCGGGGCAGGGGUCAUUUCAGCUACUGGGCACCAGUCUCCUCCUCAUGUUUAUCCUGUUCCCUUUGCUUGAAAGGUUCGUACUCCAGAUCCUUGUAAAACCGCUUCUCACCCUUUGAGUCUCAGCUUAAAUGUCCCCUCCUUGGAGGGGUCUUCCCUGACAAUGAAGCUCCGACCGUCCUCUCCUGUUUUACCCAGUUCAUUUCUUUCUGGCAUUUGUAACUACUUGAAGUUAAAGUGUGU
rnacentral:lncRNA from 1 species